AGGGUUAGUUGGUGCAAAGAAAAUCCGGAGGACAAGUGGAUAUGGAAGGGAGUAUGAAGUUCUUCGUCCUUUGAGCACUUUCUGCAUUAACCAUGAAACCAGAAACAUCAUUAUAUUGAUCCAGCCAAGGAUAUUAAUGGGCAUCCUGAUGACUGAUGGAGGAUAAAAAUAGAGAAUACUAGCUGCCAUACUUGGCCUCUCAAUUGACUCAACUUCAACUUGACAAACCUUGUGCACAUGCACUAGGACCCCUUCACCCUCCAUUCCUUCAGCCACUCGACAGCAUGAG